GAGCCUGCAGUCCCUGGGAGCCGGUCCAGGGUACAGCCUGCGCGAGGGAAAAGGUUUGAACAAGGAGAGGAAGGAGGAACGAGAAACAGAGGUCGUUGCUUUGAGUCGGGGGAGAGUUUGAGCCAAUAAUUGGUGUGCUGGGCAGAGGACGGCAGCAGGCGUGUGCAGGUACCUACUUCUGUCUUCCUCUCCCUGGUCCACCUUGUUAAGCGCCAGUCCAUCCCAGAUGUCCAGAGAGGAGACCCACCACUGCAGGGGCUCACAGGAAGGACUCAGGGCAACAAAAGGCAGAGAAGAGCCUAGAAGCGGAUUUCUGUUUCCCAGGGCAUCAGAAGUUGGCACUGCUGGGACCACUCCCACGGGAGAGGAUGGAUUCCCCGGUGGAGGCGGUACCACAGCCUCAGAUCCACAACGUCACCGGACAGUGCCAGACCCCGGGAAGAGAAAGAAGGCGUGGUCCCGGCCCCCGGCCCCUCCUGGCCACGGGACUGUCUUCCUUUUUUUUUUUUUUUUUUUUUUCCAAAGCACAAUGUCUCUGCUGCCAAGAGCGGGUUUGUCUGUCUCCUGGAAACCGCGGUUGUCAAGUCCUCGAAGCAAGAGCAAGCGUGUCAAAAAUAGCACGGCCGCAGACGGCGCGGCUGCAGCUCCUUUGACAUGCUGGUUUCACUCUCGCCAAAGAGCCGGGGUCUGUCUGCGUUCCCUGCACCUGUGACAGAGGCUGCUUAAGGCUCCGGGAUUUUUCUAGGGCCGGGCAAAGAGUGUCCGCCAGGCGCGGGACAGACUAAAGGAAAAGCCCCUCCACAGUAACAAGGGUGAGGUCGGAGGUGUGCUCAAAAAGGAGAAAAAAUUGUCCCAGAUAAACCAUAAUGGAAAAGAAUAUGAAAAAGAAUAUAUAUGUAUAACUGACUCACUUUGCUGUGCAGCAGAAAUUGACACAACAUGGUAAAGCAACUCUACUUCAAUAAAAUCCAUUAAAAAAAAUUGUCGUAAACCCCAUCAGGGCUAGGCCCCCAAUAGGUUAGGUGACAGCCAAGGUGCGACCAGUCUUGAGGGCAUUGACUAUGGUGUCUGCCUCUUCUUUCUCUCUUGUUCUGGGAACGAGCAGUCACUUGUUUUGGAUAACCUUUCCCAAGGGCUCACUGAGAGGUUUCCACUCCUUCUUUAGGGAAGCAAGGGGAUGAGGACCAAAGAUAACUAAUGAGGACCUGCUGCACAGCACAGGGAGCUCUACUCAGUACUCUGUGAUGACCUAGAUGGGAAAAGAAUCUAAAAACGAGUGGAUCUAUGUAUAUGUAUAACUGAUUCACUUCGCUGUACACCUGAAACUAACACAACAUUGUAAGUCAGCUAGACUCCAAUAAAAAUUUUUAAAAAUAUAUGGGACGAAGGGGUGGUAUGAAUGCCUUUCUCUAGGAGUUCAGAGCAAAAGGAAGGGAAAGAAAUGACCCUCUCCAACCCCACAAGGACCUCGAGCCCAGAACAGGAGAGCGGUUCAUCGGGGAGACACGGUAACACGAGAACUAAGAGCCCAUCUGUCCUCAUCCCCAGUGGUCUGCAUCCAGAGGUUCCCUUUCCCGAAAAGCCCUAGGCUCCAGUCUUAUUGUGGUCCAAGAGAGCCGCGCACCCCGGGAAGCCCGGAGUCAAGUGGGAUGGAGAAAGGAAAUCUUUUGGUUUAAAGAAUGGAUUUCUUUUCCUUCCCUGAGUGACCUUGACAAGCUAGAAUUAGACCAAACUUUGCUUCCCGGGGCAAUAACGGACAGUCAAAGCCAAUCAGAGCCGGCCCGGAGGUCCCAGCCAGAUUGUCCCGGGAGGACGGUGUCCUCUGGAAAUGUAUCUUGGCAUUUAUGGAGAGAUGCUGGGGGACAAAACACUGCCAAAAGCGAGGGCUCAGCCAGGGGAGAGAAGGCAUGAUAAACAGCAGGACCGGAAGGUGUCAUGUGAGGAAAAGCAGGGCAGGGGUCGGGGGUCGUGGUGAAGGAAGGGAUUGGCGAGCGGAAGGCAAGUAGGAGCAAGAGAGGAACGACAGGGACUUCCCGGGUGGGCCAGUGGCUAAGACUCAGCGCUCCCAACGCAGGGGGCCCGGGUUCAAUCCCCGGUCAGUGAACUAGAUCCCACAUGCUGCAACUAAGACCUGGCCCCGCCAAAUAAAUAAAUAAAUAUUUUUUUAAAAAAAGAGAGAGAGAGAGCGAGGAAUGACAUCCAAUGAGCGUUCUUGGAGGAGGACGACCUAAGGGAAGACUCUCACCCCUACUUCUUCUGUUUCCUGGAAGCACCACAGCCUGCGGGGCCCCAUCAGCAGCUGGAGGGUAGGGACCCGGCCAGGAGAAAAACACCUUGACUCCUGUGUAAUUUCUUAAGGAAUUCUGAGUUUCCAGGUACAGAGGUAAGGUGGCGGUUUCUGCCUUUGGUUCAGUACAUGCUAACCAGGCUCUGUAAGGACCAGGAAUGGCUUGGCCUGUCUUCAGAGCCAAAAGAAAGGGGCAUGUCAGUCCCACAAAGGUUUCAUUGUCAAAAUUCAGAACAAAAGAAAACAAACAGCUCUUGGCACUGGAAGGGAGGAGCAGGCAGCAACUGUAUGAAAGUUCUAAAGUGUCCCCGUGUGGCAGAGAAAAAAAACUGUCAUUCCAUCCUGAAUACGCAGUCUGGUCCAUCUUUAGAGAGGCUUAACCUCUAGAUUUAUAAAACCAAAGCAUCUCCCAGACAAGAGGUGAAACUCUGAGGUUAUUAGUCUCACGUCACUUUUUUUUUUAACAAUUCAGUGACUUUUUUGGGUUGCCUUAUAGAGCUGUACAACUGUCACCACAAUCCUCCUUUAGAAAAUGUCCCUUACCCUCCAAAAGCCGCCUGAUAUCCUGAUGCAGGUGGGACUCAGCCUACACGACCUCCAGCAAGGAGAUGCACAAGCUUCCCUCUGGACCGGUUGGUGAAUCUUAACCCAUCAUGCCAAGGAGUGUCCCCCGCACCUUGCACCACUGACAUUUAUGUCCUUUGCUUUUCUUCUGCCUUCAGGGGACAAGAGAGACAGCUCUGAGACCCUUCAAGUGAAUUAAGGGCAGUCAGAAAGUCGCCCUUGAAUGAAGACCUUUUCUAGUCUAAUUCCACGCUAUGCCUUCCUCCUAAGCCCUCUUUUCUGUGUUUAUUUCACUGUUUCCACUGUGCCAUUGUCUUGAACCUUUCUGUAAGCUCCUUAAGGUUGGGGGACCCUGAGGUGAGCAUAGUCCUAUGCUACACAAAGUAUUUCUCUGAAAUGUAUUGCUAUCAGGUU